GAGGCCUCCGUGUAGGCCGCAGUGAAGCCUGAACUCGAGUAGGGCCCAAGCCAGCCAGGAAGGAGGAGGCAGCCAGAGUGUUCUCUGCAGCAGAAGAUCCCUUGCUGCACUGCUUAACCCAGACCAGCAUUUGCCAGGCCAUGUAUACCAGUGUAUAAAUAUACUUGAGAAUAGCCACCGUAACCAACACCUUGAAUCUGUGGAUUUGUGCCAUUGGUAUCUGUUCUCCUUUUUGCAUGUUUGUGGGACAUGAACACAGAUCAGCAGAAUAAUAUAUGAACACUGGAAGCUGCCUUAAUUUGAAUCAGACUAUUGUUCCAUCUAGCUCAAUAUUGUCUACACCAGCUGAGAGACACCCCAGGGUUUCUGGCAGGGAUCUUUCCCAGCUCUACCUGAAUAUUUCAAGGACUGAACAUAGGACCUUCUGCAUGAAAAACGUUCUUUAUGACUGAGCUGUGGGAUCCUCCCCAAAGGAAUAUUUCAACCAAACUAUGAGAGACAAAUAUGCCAGUUCAAGUGGCAACCUGGCGUAUCUACUCCCAAGUAAAUGUACUUGAAGUAAAUCAGUACUUGACAUUUAUCUGUAGAUACCAUACUGCUUCUCUUUGCUGCUCUUUUCCUGCAUUUUCUCAACUUAACCUCAGGCUGGGUGCUUAGCAGGCGUACAUUCUCAUCCGACACUGACUUUGUUGCCUUUGGUGACAUGACUUCAAUUUCAAAGCUGCAGAAGAUACAAAUCGAGGCACAAUGAAAGUAGUCAGGACCAUGAUGCAUUUUAGCUGACCUGAGACCAGCACAGAGGGUGCUGGGGUCUGAAAUUAGAGCCUGGUGCAACAAGUGAAGGAUGCUUCCUUCUGGAAACUAAUAGAUCUCAUCUCUCUUGAUAUGGUAAUUGUAUAAAGGAUGAUCUUAAUGGAAGGGAAAGUCUGUGUGGCAAUCUCUCUCUCAUUCUCUCCCCCCCCCACCCCCCCCACCCCACACAGUAAGGUAGCAUAUGAGCUGCAGAGCUGAAGGAAGGUUAAGUCCUCUUUUGUAGUGCUGUUCCCAGGGACGAUGUACCCAGGUAGACCAGAAACCAGACUAAAUCAGCCAGCCAUGCACCCUCCCCAGGCACUGAAAUGCUCCAUAGCCAUGUUCCCCUGGAAUCCCUAGGUCGAGCAUUUGUCUAAGGAUGUAGCACUGAACCAGGAACACUGGCCCUCUUCACAUGUCAUGUUCAAUCUACGUAUGAUCUGUGCACAUGCGCAGUGUAUGCAUGUACAGAAGAACAAACAGUUCUUCAUGCAUGUUGAACGCAUGCCCAGCAGUACACUUUCUCUCGGUAUCAUCCAUUUGAGGAACCUGUACCCAGAUUCACUUUUUAAAUGAAUGCAUGUAUAGUUAGCUACAGAAACAUAUGUAUACGUAAGUAAAGUGUGCCGUCAAGUCGAUUUCGACUUCUGGUGCCCACAAAGCCCUGUGGUUUUCUUUCGAUAGAAUACAGUGUGAGAUGAUGCCUUUCAGCAUCUUCCUAUAUCACUGCUGCCCAAUAUAGUACCAGCGGCGAUUCAAACCAGCAACCUUCUGCUUGUUAGUCAAGCAUUUCCCCGCUGCAUAAGUAAAGACACCCAAAUGCACCUUCAGGUAAUGUCUGAAUAGGGGUCCCCCCGCCCACAUCCUGAGAUUUGGAAUGCUCAUUUGCCAGCAUUCCAAAUGACAGAAUACGUGUCUCCAGGUAUAGUGCUAAUUUCCCCAGACAAACAAUGGACCUGUGGAUUCAGGGGGACAUGGAGCAUGUCAGUGCUGGAGGCCUGGUGUGGCUAGCUGGUCCACUCUGGUUUGUUAUGUACCCUGGCAUAGCAUGACUGAAAAAGGCUUUAAUAAGCUUCUAUUUAUAACCAUAAAAUAGCCAAAUAUUCAGUAUUUACAUUAUUCAAGACUUAGGCCAUAUGAGUUCGCCCAAAGAAUGAGCUUCAAAGUUCACCACCUAGAAGUCUCUCUCCUUAGUAAAACUGAAUCAGACUGUUGAAGCCCGCAAGGGGAAUGUGUUCCAGGCAAGAACAAAAAUUCAGUACCAUACACAAGCAUCCUCUCAUUCCUAAUGCUAUCAAACAUUUCAUCUAAUUAUUCAGCUAUUUAGCUGGCUGUGCUCCAAGAGCUGUCAGAAACACAGUAUCGCUAAUUCUUUUCUGCAAACUUUGUAUACUGUACUACCAUUUUGGCCUCAGCUAAUGUAUUUAUGUUUUAUUUUACUCAGUGCGGUUUGCUUCAGAAGCAGAUUCAACAAACAUCUGGAAUCCUCCAAGAACUAGGACCCCUGGGUAUUCUGUCUGGAUCAAAGUACUAAGCCAUUCAAAAUUACAGAAAGGGGAAAGGGAAGGGGGUGCUCUGUGGCCUGGCUGGCAACACCUUCAUAAUAAUUGUUUUUGUCAAAGUGAAAAAGGAAACAGCUUUCAUAUAAGCAGGGCAGGAUCUCUCCUCAAGGUGAAGUCCAAUGCUUCAGAGAACAAAUAAGCUGAUGGAUCUGGCUAGAUGAAAGCUGUUGUACCUUCAGAUUACAGGUCAAGCCUUAUCAUACAAAGUCCUCAACGCUUUUGUUUUUCUUUUCCUGAGAGCGAAAAUAGAAAUUAAAAGGCUGUAAGGGGAAUGGGGAAAAAAACAUUCUUACCAGUUCUCUGACUCCAUAUUGUUUCUCCACUUUGACCUUUAAGUGCUUGAAACACUCCUCCAUACGUUCAUGGAAAGGACGAAGGCUGUUUGAAACCCUCCUCUCAUGAAUCUUAAUUCCAGCCCCAAGAAAUGGAAUCUAGGAGAGAACAGCAGCAAGGUUUUUAGCCCUGCGAUCUACUUGAUCUCUAUAGAAGAUGCCAAAAUAACUGCAAACAUCGCUGAGCACGCAUGGUGCAGUUGGCAGCCCAUCCCACCAGUCCCAUUUUAAGCUAGAUGACAAGGAUAGUGCUAUGAAGGUUUCUUCAGAGGUGUGCUCAAACAAGACUGUAAGGGGUCAUCUCUCCAGGAUGUCAAGGUCACAAAGUAUUUACCCUCAAAAGUAUCACAGGUCAGGACUGUGAGUAUGCUUGAAGCAGAUGAAACCCUCAGAACAGGGAACAGGUAUAUCUUCAGUGCUCUUCUGAAGGCCAUCACAGAAAGUGCAGCUCUUACUUUAACAAGGAGUGCAUUCCACAGUUCCAGAGCAACUACAGAAAAGGCUCACCACUGAGUCGCCACCAGACGAUCCAAUGGUAACCACAAUCAAACCUCCUCCUGACUGGUGGUGGGGUUCAUGACUAGGAAGGUGCUCUCUUAGAUAGGGAUUGUGUGGGGAUCAUAGCAACAUAUGGUUUUCAUAUAAUUUGAAAUAUGGCUUUCAUAUAAUUUGGUUGUUUGUCUACAGAAGUCUGUAAAAGUGAUGCUUUCAUGAAGGUAUGUGUCACUGAGGAAGACAUACGUCGAAACACGUCUAACCCAUUGGAAAUGACCCACUGAAAAGGACUCUUACACUUUGAAAAGACUUAUUGUUUGGUGGAAAGGUAUUCGGUCUUCAUAAGAACUUUGGCUCACUGUGAGCCUACUUUGACUAUUCAGAGACAUUUUUAUAUAUUCCUUUAUGUGAUUUUGUAUUAUAUUGUUGUCUGCGUAGGAAUGUUUUUAUGGUAUGAUUUUAAAUGUGUGUAGUUGUUCUUUGUAAUAGCUACCUUAAGUGGUGCAGUGGGGAAAUGCUUCACUAACAAGCAGAAGGUUGCUGGUUCAAAUCCUCGCUGGUACUAUAUCGCGGGCAGCAGCGAUAUAAGAAGAUCCUGAAAAGCAUCAUCUCAUACUGCACAGGAGGAGGUAAUGGUAAACCCCUCCUGUAUUCUACCACAGAAAACAACAGGGCUCUGUGGGCACCAAGAGUCAAAAUCGACUUGAUGACACACUUUACCUUUAGUUGUUCUAUGUAGAACUUUUUAAUUAUAUUAUUAAUAUACCCAUUUUCAGGAAUAUUCUGAAUUUUUGGCAGCCUAAUAUUACAUUAGUUUCUUGUUCUGGUCUUUGGGGGGGGGCAUCUACAUUCUUUUUGGAUCAGUAAUACACCCUAUUUUAUGUUGUGUUUACUUUAUAGGUAAUAACCAGCACUUUGUAUUUUGCCCAGAAACAUAUCAGCAACCAGUGUAAUUCUUAUAGGACAUGAGUGAUAUGGUCUCUUUGCGGUCCCCUGGAGACCAUCUUGGCUACUGCAUUUUGCACCAAAUGUAGUUUCUGGGCUACAUACAAAGGUAGCCCAAUGUAAAGCACAUUGCAAUAAUCAAUCAAGGAGGUUACCAGAAUGUGCACCAGUUUUAAGGUCAUUUUCACCCAGAAAAGAACAGUUGGCAUAUCAGCCGAAGCUGAUAAAAAGCACUCCUGGCCUAUAGUAUGACUCUAAUCACACCUCUUCUUCCAUCAGUAAAGGGUUUCCACUGACUCUCCCCAUAAGGAUUGUGAAGUUCUCCACUGAUAUAAGGAUCAAGGUGUAUUAGAAGAACCCCAGUGGCUGCUUCUUGCCAACCUCAGUACUACUGCUAUCUGCUACUUCCUUCAGCUGGCAUCAGUUUGGAAAUGGUGAAGCUCCAUACUUCACUUCUAAUCUGUAACUCACUCAAUGGCUGCUUUUUCUGUCACUUACCAAAGUGGAAACAGCAGAAACUAACAGUGGUAGCUGGAUAUAUAAGCUUCUAGAGUUAUGAAGUGGAGAGUUUUCACUUAGUUGUGUAGGUAGGCAGGCUGACAGGCUAUUCCCACAUCCAUUUUACUUAAUCCUUGAAUAGCACUUGUCUCACCCAUUCACUUUUUAAAAAGAAGAUUAUUGAAUGGUUUGGAAGAGGGAGAACUGCUUACAGUAUGUACAUUCAUCCUGUACAUACCACCACUCUGCG